ensembl:lncRNA
CAAAUAGUAGAGGACCAAAAACACUGGUUAAAAUGUCUAGGAGGAUAAUAGCAUUUCACCAACCUUUGUACUUUUGGCGUUGCAGCAGGCCUAGAUAAAUAUAUAAAUUUGCUGAUGAUCCCGCUCGUGGAGGAGACUGCUUGUUAAACCGCUCGAAGUGCGCACAGCAGAGAGGAGCUGAGCCCUGCACAGACUGCUGAGGCGCACAUUCUCCGCGUCCACGGUGCGCGCUCCAGCGCGCAACCACUGAACUUCCUGAACCAGAUUGGCUUCGUUGCCCUUUCUCGGUUACUAAAUAUUAGUGAGGAUGUGGCCUGAGCAGAGAGUCCAAUGUGCUGUGAGGAGUCCCGUGUGUCACGUUCGUGGGAUCUUUCUGCUUCUCCUGCUUGUCAUGGUUCAAAUGAUGAUCUCCUUGGUGCCUUUUGAUGGUGUGUUCAUUCGCUCCGAUAAAGUCCUCAUCAGCCCCUACAGAUUCUGUCAGAUCCAACAAACUGGUGAAUGGUCCUGUGAUAAUGUGCAUAAGAGUCACCUGUACGAGCUAUCGCAAUCCCAAGGAGCUGAAGCUGAGACUUUAUCUAAGCCACAUUCUAACUCUGUCAGAGUAGCGGUUUACCUAGCCGUGUAUGUUCCAGUGAUUAUUGUGGCGUUUGCCCUGAUGGGCAUGCAUUCAGUCAUCUCUGACAAAGACGAACCUGCUAUCUUUUGCAGCACAACUUUCCAGGUUGGAGCAGCCUUUCUCAGCCUGGCUGGCCUUUGUAGUUUUUUGUUUGUCUAUCAGUCAUAUGUGAGCUGGCAAAACAUAACCAUUUGGUUCUAUAUCUAUUUGGGUGUGGUGAUGGAGCUGGCUAUCACAUCUGCACUGACCCAUGUGUCAGGUAAGCGACUGAGAUCACACUGGGAACGCAGCGAAAUGCUUAAGCUCAUCCCUGCUUAAAUGCAAACAUGAGCCACAGACUGUGCAGUUUAAAAAAGCGAUUAAUGUUAUGAUCAUAUCACAAAGACCUUUGAGUGGUCCGUAAAAGUAGAAAAGUGCUAUAUUAAUGCAAUUACACACGAAUCUGCUUUGGAGAAUAUGUUAAUUGCUGUCAUGAUGUAUUUAAUGAUAAGCUGUAUCCCUCAACAUGUUUAACGUGUCUUUUGGUGCUGUAAUAUCACUUUGUAUCACUUUAUCAAGUGGUUUAUGAAAGCCAAGACACAUAAUGUAUAACACAACAAAAAAUCUGUUGAGUCUGAAAUGUGCAGCUGGUGGAUGCGUGAGUGGUACCCUAAUUGUGCUGAUAGUUAUUUCUAUAUAAGCUAUAAGGAAUAAAGAAUAUAUUUAUUUUUCAAAGUGUGUUCUUAUAUCUGCUACCUCAUAUAUUCAAGGAGCAACAGUAAUGUGAUUUCUGUAACUACAAUUUCUAGUUACUUCACAUGAAUAACAGUAUGCUUUAAUUACACCCAGUUUAAUGCAAAAGCAAGGCUUUUUUCAAGUUUCUCCCCACAGAGCAAGGGCACUUGUACUGCAACAGUACCAUGCUCAGGGUACUAGCAGGAACUUGUUAGGUCUUCUGGUGGAAACAUUUCUAACACCAAACCUUUGUGGUGAAAAACCCACAACUGCUGUCAGUUUCAUAUACAGUGUCAUGCAUGUGAAAACAAAAACCGUUGUGUUUUUUUUUCCUCAUUAAAACCUUCAGUAAACCUAAAAAAAAUGCCAUGUUGUCAAUUUUAUGUUGAAUUAGAGUUUGGACCCAAGUGACAAAAAAACAAACACAACACUUAAGUAACUGUCACACUGUAAGAUAAGUAGUUCCCCUCACACGAGGUGCUAGAUGAUGCCACUGAAACAUAGACUGAAGCGCUGAAAUUUGAUUUCAGUGCAGAAGCUUUGGUGAAUUAAUUACUUGUCUCCGUCUCCGGAUGUAGUCCUGUGAAGCGCUGCUGGGAUGUACCUCUCUGAGACAUCAAUUAAUGGAUCCGUUCUCCAAACUUUUUCUUUAUGGAUGAGCUGUGAGCUAUGUGUCCUCAAGUACUGACUGGACUCUCACCUGAAUUCGUAAUUUAGGAAGCAUUCCCCCAAAUGACACUUUUCAGUUUAAUGCAAAAACUUUUUAGUGUCAAAUAAGUUAAUCAGCUGAAAAAAAUUUCCCGUACAAGGCGUAAGGCAUCGCUGUCCUCUGCUGCUGUCUGCGGUGGUUCAUUCGUCUUCCCAGCCUCCACAUUCUCAACUGUUCCUGAACGCUGACCCUCAGGUGUUUGUUGCUGCGGCCUGCUGGUGUAAAGUAAUGUUUCCACCUCUGUAAUGUCCAAGUCUGUUUCUGAAACAUACGUCAUGUCCAGAUCUUCAGUGCAGUCUGAUGGGGACUCCUCUGCAGCAACUGGAUUUGCUGUCAGCUGUGAAUUUGUGGAUUUCCCCAUCUUCUUAACUGUGUCUACUGCUUUUUGUUUACCCUGGGUGUGGGUGAAGGGAAGAUCAAGCAAAUAUUAAACGACGGUUAAGAGAGUAACCCACAUGUGAUGAUUAAGAGUUUAACUGCAUACAGUAAUAUUGGAUAUAAUGGACUGUGAUGUUAAAACAUCAUUAUAUUACUUAUGUAGGGCAUGUGGGGGAGGGGGAAAUCAAAUGUUUGAAAAGAGAAACAGCACCACCUGCUGGCGAGUCACGAGUGUCAGGUCCUCACAUGAGCCGUUUGUGAAAUAGGAAACAGCUGCUUCUACCAGCUCUUGCUCGUUCAUACAGUAGAAAGCAGACCUGGGAACAUAUCAGUGGAUUGG